CCUUUCUCUAUGGAAGUCCCUUGAUUGGAGCUAAAGGCAAUGAGCUUGUGGGUUUGGUGAUUCCGAAGCUGUGUUUGGAUCAAGGGUUUUGUGAGGGAAAAAGAAAAGGAAAUGGAAAAGUUAGUGGAUCUAACAGUCUUGAUCAGUUUGAUCAUCUAACUUUUCCAUUUUGAUUUCCUUUUUCCUCGCCAAAUCCUUGAUCCAAAUACAGCCAAAGUGUGCUUGACGAACUGAUUGAGAAGGGCUUAGCACUGGUAGUGUGGUUAGCGAGGAUUUGGCAAGGCAUUCGAGAUGCCUAGAGUGUGGAUUCAGA
rnacentral:lncRNA from 1 species